rnacentral:misc_RNA from 1 species
GUGAAUCAUCAAAUUUUUGAACGCAAAUUGCACUCUCCGCGGAUAGUAUGACUAUUUCAGUGUCAGCCUAUAAAAAAUCGACAUCGUUGCUGUUUCGCGUUUGCGUUCGUAGGCGAUUGAGUCAUCUUAAAUCUUUUUGUUUUAAGCGACUUAAAAUUUUCUUUUUGUUUCCAUGAUCGUUUCUAAGCUUUAUUUCUUUACACGUUUAAGAUAUCUAUUUUUAUUAGACUUGGCCAUCAUAUCGGAUCUCUCA